GAGGGUAUAGCUCAGUGGUAGAGCACAUGCUUAGCAUGCACGAGGUCCUGGGUUCGAUCCCCACUACCUCUG
rnacentral:tRNA from 1 species